rnacentral:rRNA from 1 species
AUCAUCAAAGCUUGCUUUGAUGGAUGGCGACCGGCGCACGGGUGAGUAACACGUAUCCCACCUGCCGACAACACUGGGAUAGCCUUUCGAAAGAAAGAUUAAUACCGGAUGGCAUAGUUUUCCCGCAUGGGAUGAUUAUUAAAGAAUUUCGGUUGUCGAUGGGGAUGCGUUCCAUUAGGCAGUUGGCGGGGUAACGGCCCACCAAACCAACGAUGGAUAGGGGUUCUGAGAGGAAGGUCCCCCACAUUGGAACUGAGACACGGUCCAAACUCCUACGGGAGGCAGCAGUGAGGAAUAUUGGUCAAUGGACGAGAGUCUGAACCAGCCAAGUAGCGUGAAGGAUGACUGCCCUAUGGGUUGUAAACUUCUUUUAUACGGGAAUAAAGUUAGCCACGUGUGGCUUUUUGUAUGUACCGUAUGAAUAAGGAUCGGCUAACUCCGUGCCAGCAGCCGCGGUAAUACGGAGGAUCCGAGCGUUAUCCGGAUUUAUUGGGUUUAAAGGGAGCGUAGAUGGAUGUUUAAGUCAGUUGUGAAAGUUUGCGGCUCAACCGUAAAAUUGCAGUUGAUACUGGAUAUCUUGAGUGCAGUUGAGGCAGGCGGAAUUCGUGGUGUAGCGGUGAAAUGCUUAGAUAUCACGAAGAACUCCGAUUG